GACGAACGCUGGCGGCGUGCUUAACACAUGCAAGUCGAACGGUGAAGCUCCAGUUUGCUGGAGUGGAUCAGUGGCGAACGGGUGAGUAACACGUGAGUAACCUGCCCCUGACUCUGGAAUAAGCGCUGGAAACGGCGUCUAAUACUGGAUACGAGAAGGGUCCGCAUGGGGACUUUCUGGAAAGUUUUUCGGUUGGGGAUGGGCUCGCGGCCUAUCAGCUUGUUGGUGGGGUAAUGGCUCACCAAGGCGACGACGGGUAGCCGGCCUGAGAGGGCGACCGGCCACACUGGGACUGAGACACGGCCCAGACUCCUACGGGAGGCAGCAGUGGGGAAUAUUGCACAAUGGGCGAAAGCCUGAUGCAGCGACGCCGCGUGAGGGAUGACGGCCUUCGGGUUGUAAACCGCUUUCAGCAGGGAAGAAGCGAAAGUGACGGUACCUGCAGAAGAAGCACCGGCUAACUACGUG
rnacentral:rRNA from 1 species